CGAGUUUCAUCUUGAAAAAGGCUUUCUGAAAAGUGUUACAGAUGUAUGGACUUACAUGGUCCAUGUAAAUUCAUACGUCUCUAACAGUUUUGAGAAAGCCUUUUUCGAGGUAGAAACAAU